rnacentral:rRNA from 1 species
AGCGAACGCUGGCGGCAGGCCUAACACAUGCAAGUCGAACGAACUCUUCGGAGUUAGUGGCGGACGGGUGAGUAACACGUUGGAACGUGCCUUUAGGUUCGGAAUAACUCAGGGAAACAUGUGCUAAUACCGAAUGUGCCCUUCGGGGGAAAGAUUUAUCGCCUUUAGAGCGGCCCGCGUCUGAUUAGCUAGUUGGUGAGGUAAAGGCUCACCAAGGCGACGAUCAGUAGCUGGUCUGAGAGGAUGAUCAGCCACAUUGGGACUGAGACACGGCCCAAACUCCUACGGGAGGCAGCAGUGGGGAAUCUUGCGCAAUGGGCGAAAGCCUGACGCAGCCAUGCCGCGUGAAUGAUGAAGGUCUUAGGAUUGUAAAAUUCUUUCACCGGGGACGAUAAUGACGGUACCCGGAGAAGAAGCCCCGGCUAACUUCGUG